rnacentral:lncRNA from 1 species
GAUGAAUCUGACCACAGAUCCUUUAUACCCUGGACCACAAAAGGGAGGAGAAGAACUUGAACAGAAAAUGCAGUUAGGGGUUUGGAUUACUGCCUUGUGACUAAUAAAUAGGACUAGACACUUUCAUCCCCACAUAUAAGACAGUCAGCUCACAGAGAAAAAUGACAAGGUGGGUCUGCAAACAACGGAAGCACUGGCGCACCAAAACUUGAUCUACAGAGCCAUCUGAAACUAUAAACAAAUAUGCUGAUGAAUAUUAAGAAGAUGAAAGAAAGAAACCAAAGGUUUAAAAAUAUGAUGCUGAAAACAAUGAAAUGUCUCUAGGUAAUUAAACAGUAUGGCAGGUAAUCUAAUUUAAAACUAAAACCCAGCUCAAACUAAGAAAACAUAUUCCCACCCUCUGCUUGAUUUGCUUUCUUUCAAGGGCCUUUAAAGCAAAACACUAACCAUGAAGAGUUUUACUUUUCCCAGGAAAUGAAAUAUUUUCUAACACAGAACAGCAAAUAAAAUACUUUUUCUAACACAAAAAAAAAA